rnacentral:lncRNA from 1 species
GCCUACUUUGAUUGUAUGUGAUCGUCUUUUAUUUCUGAGCGACUUUACAUUCGAUGCCUGCGACUGUCUUCAUAGGUGAUAGUAUUGAAUGCAAAGGCUAACGAUUCCAGUUCUCAAACAGCCGACACGAACAAUUCAAAUCGAAAAAUAUCCCCUUCAAAUUGCUUUGUUCCCGGUAAAACUUUGCCAGCGUAUAGAAUAAACACCCAUCUUCGAACAUACAAGGCAAUAUUAACACGUCCUGUAAUUUUUGCAAUGGAUUUUUAGCGAAAUAAAAUUUAGUAAAAUUCUAUGGAACUUAGAAAGCCCGAUAAUUACUACGGCGCCUGCUUGGCCACCUAGCCUCCUUUACCGUUUGGAUUGUCAAGGGGAUUCAAAUAAAAAACACCUAUUUCCGGCAACAGCCAGCCAAUCAACGCCGCGAUACCGACUGUUUACAGUAUUCGAAAUCUGAUAUUGCAAUUUAUCAACAACAAAACUCUUUCGAUCGUAUACAGCUCUCUUUCUAUCUUAUACUAUACGAUCGAUCAAUCGAAAUUGUUUUGUUGUUGAUAAAUUGCAAUAUCAGAUUUCAAAUAUUGUAAACAGUCGGUAUCGCGGUGUUGAUUGGCUGGCUGUUGCUGGAAAUAGAUGUUUUUAAUUUGAAUCCCCCCCCCCUGACAAUCCAAACGGUAAAGGAGGCUAGGUGGAGAACUGGAAUCGUUAGCCUUUGCUUUCAAUACUAUCACCUAUGAAGACAGUCGCAGGCAUCGAAUGUAAAGUCGCUCAGAAAUAAAAGACGAUCACAUACAAUCAAAGUAGGCAAGUAAAUAUGAUUUUAAAAUAUAAAAUUCAUUACAAAUUUUAUUGUUUAGUAUAUUUUAUAAUGAUAUAUUUACUAUGCACUGAUACACGUCUGGGCCACCUAUGAUCGGUUAUCUGUUUAAAAACUUUUGAAAUCAUGCAUGUAUGAAAUUCAGUUCAAGCAUAUUUAAAACUAGUCGUGUUCCGGUGAUUUCGAAUAUAAUACCUAGUGUUUUGGGUGUACAAUUUUAACAUUUUUAUGCUCAAAUUUGUUGUGACCAUCAAACUAUAAAUUUCGGGAUUCAUCAUGCAUAAAAUGAACGAACCAUUCACAAAUAAUUCAAUAUAUUUCGUAAACAAUCACAACAUAUAUUUCAACUGAUAAGACAAAUAAAAAGCUAUAGAAACUAGAACAA